rnacentral:rRNA from 1 species
UACAGAGGGGGCAAGCGUUGUUCGGAAUUACUGGGCGUAAAGGGCGCGUAGGCGGCCCUCUAAGUCAGACGUGAAAUCCCUCAGCUUAACUGGGGAACUGCGUCUGAGACUGGAUGGCUCGAGUGCAGGAGAGGAAUGCGGAAUUCCAGGUGUAGCGGUGAAAUGCGUAGAUAUCUGGAGGAACACCGGUGGCGAAGGCGGCAUUCUGGACUGUAACUGACACUGAACGACGAAAGCCAGGGGAGCAAACGGG